AUUGAACACUGGCGGCAGGCUUAACACAUGCAAGUCGAGCGGGGGAGGUUGCUUCGGUAACUGACCUAGCGGCGGACGGGUGAGUAAUGCUUAGGAAUCUGCCUAUUAGUGGGGGACAACAUUCCGAAAGGAAUGCUAAUACCGCAUACGCCAUACGGGGGAAAGCAGGGGAUCUUCGGACCUUGCGCUAAUAGAUGAGCCUAAGUCGGAUUAGCUAGUUGGUGGGGUAAAGGCCUACCAAGGCGACGAUCUGUAGCGGGUCUGAGAGGAUGAUCCGCCACACUGGGACUGAGAAACGGCCCAGACUCCUACGGGAGGCAGCAGUGGGGAAUAUUGGACAAUGGGCGGAAGCCUGAUCCAGCCAUGCCGCGUGUGUGAAGAAGGCCUUUUGGUUGUAAAGCACUUUAAGCGAGGAGGAGGCUCUUAAGGUUAAUACCCUUGAUGAGUGGACGUUACUCGCAGAAUAAGCACCGGCUAACUCUGUGCCAGCCGCCGCCGUAAAAC
rnacentral:rRNA from 1 species